rnacentral:snRNA from 1 species
AGACAAGUGUGCAAGAGAUUUC